GGCACCUGCAACCACUCUCCUCUGGAGGUGCCUACAGACCCUGUGUGCCUGUGACCUUGCUCUUGAACGCCCGCCUGCCCAGAUGUCCUGCCAGCAGAGCCAGCAGCAGUGCCAGCCCCCUCCCAAGUGCCCCCCCAAGUGCCCUCCCAAGUGCCAAGCCCCCAAAUGCCCCCCAAAGUGUCCCCCUAAGUGUCCUCCAGUGUCCUCCUGCUGCAUCUCCAGCUCCGGGGGCUGCUGUGGCUCUGGGGGUGGGGGCUGCUGCAGCUCUGGGGGUGGGGGCUGCUGCAGCUCUGGGGGUGGGGGCUGCUGCCUGAGCCACCACAGGCCCCGCAGGUCGCACCGCCGCAGACAGCAGAACUCAGGCUGCUGCAGCCAGCCCUCGGGGGGCUCCAGCUGCUGUGGAGGGGGCGGCAGCCAGUCAUCUGGGGACUGCUGCUGAGGGGGACCCUGAGCCUGGAAGAGGAGACACGGAGGCAGCAAAUGGCCAAACAGCUUCCCCUCUUCUUGCCCCUGCUGCUGAGCCAGCCCAUGUUGCCGAGAGGCCUUGGUGAGGUCGGACCUCAAGCCUAGAACUGCCUUCCAUCUCUAGGUCCAGGAGCCCAGAUUUUUCCAAAGACUGUUUGCUGCUGACCUCAUCCCCGUAUGUGGGACUACCUUGCCCAGGGGACCCUGGAGCACAGAUCUGUGGCUCUGCAGCCUGAUGUGUAACAAUAAACCCUGAAACCUGCAUGGGCUUGGCCUUGA